CUACUUACCUGGCAGGGGAGAUACCAUGAUCACAAGAUGGUUUUCCCAGAGCAAAGCUUAUCCAUUGCACUCCGAAUGUGCUGACCUCUGUGAUUUCCCCAAAUGUGGAAAACUUGGCCACAUAAUUUGUGGUAAUGAGGGACAGACUGUGUAUACAGUUUCCCCUAA